rnacentral:lncRNA from 1 species
UUAAGAUGAAAAGAUGGCGUAUGGGUAUUUGAAAUUAAAAAAUAGUAUCAAUCAAGAUUUGUACAGUAAUAAAUACGUGACAGUGCCCAAAAUAUCGUGUAUAAGAUGACCUAUCGUUAGGAUUUAAACUUUAUCAUGAAAGGAAAUAUCCCUAAGGAGGAGAGGAGCAAUAUUUGAAUUUAGACGAAGAAUGGAAGCGAGCAAAGAAGUUGUCUUCAAUAUUAAAAUCAUUUCCAUGGAUUUCCUCACACUGAAAUGGAUUAUAAGCAGUGGCGGCUCGUGGCUUUAGGGACAGGGUCGGCAAGGUUUUUGUCUCCUCAGAUAGAUAUUCUUCUUUAGCGGCGAAUCGAUUGAGGGUAAAAUUGUACAUUUACCGCGCGCCUGCGCACACUGACAGUAUGUAGUUCAUUGCUAAUCUUUCAAGAUAGUGCCUCGAUGGAGUAGUUAGAAAUGCGUUGGCACUGAGAUUGGAAGGUUGCGGGUUCAAUUCCGAAAGUGGUAGAAACAAAUAUCAUCAACUCUGGAUUAAAUUAAAUAUUUAGAAAAUCUACAAUGUGUCCAUAAUGUGUGGGUCGGCACUGCCGACCCUGACCGGCCGCCACUGAUUAUAAGGAUUUUUUUGUCCAGGACGAUUUCAAGAACCAAUAAAGAAACCAUGUCAGCCUUUUGUCACUCACAAGAUUUGAUGUAAAUAUAGCAAGGAAUUGCCCCUAAGAAUCUCAGGAAUAUUUGAAUAUAGAUGAAGAAUGGAAGCGAGCAAGAGAGUUUUCUUCAAUAUGAGAAUCAUUUCCCCAGAUUUUUUCACAUUGAAAUGAAGUAUAAGGAAUUUUUCUUCAGGAGAAUUUGAGAACAAAUAAAGAAGCGGUCUAUCUUUUGUCACUUAUGAGAUUUAUGUAAAAAUAGCAAGGUUAGAAGAUUUUGCUGUAUUGAAAUUCAUGGAGGACAUUAGCAAGUUUUACGGAACAUCUUCAUCUUCAGAAGCACUCAAUGCUCAACGAAAUGGAUCACCAACAACUUCUAUGGAACAACUAUAUAGUUGAAAAUUGUAAUAUUGUAUCAUAAAAUGUAGUAUGGAAUAAAAUUCCUUUUUGGUGUA